ACCCGUGAAAAUGCCCUUUCAUCCCAUAAGGAGUAAGGAGCCGAUAUCAGGCACAAUAAUUUGCCCAAAACAUCUAGCAACGCCACACCCACAAGGGCACUCAGCAGUGAUUAACAUUAAAAAUAAACGUCAGUUUGAUUUAGUUAGUGUUCACAGAGCCGGCCAAUACGGUGCCAGCCGCCGCGGGUAUACCGAAGACUCAAAUUGAUUUGCUCGGCGUAAAGCGUGAUUAAAGAUAUAACCCACUAAGGUUAAAAUUAAACUAAGCCGUGAUAAGCAUACUUCUAAAAGAAAACCAAAUUCGAAAGAUACCUUAAAUUUACCAACUUGAACUCACGAUAGCUAGGAAACAAACUGGGAUUAGAUACCCCACUAUGCCUAGUCCUAAACUUAAAUUUACUUCUACAUCGCCAGGGAACUACGAGCUAUGCUUAAAACCCAAAAGACUUGACGGUACCCUCCCAAUUCCUAGAGGAGCCUGUCCUAUAAUUGAUAAUCCCCGCUAAACCUCACCAUUUUUAAUGUAAACCUGUAUACUUCCGUCGUCAGCCUGCCGCAUGAGCGAACUAGCAGGCCCAAAAGACCCACCUCUCUCACGUCAGGUCAAAGUGCAGUUUAUAAAAUGGGAACAGAUGGGCUACACUCUCUACUUUAGAGAAUACGAAAAGAUAUAUGAAACCAUAUCUAAAAGGUGGAUUUAGCAGUAAGAAAAAGAUAGAGUAUUUUUCUUAACUAUAACAAGGGUAAGUACACACCGCCCGUCACCCUCUUCAACUUUAAUUUCAAUAGUACUUAACAACAUCUAACUUCUAGAAGAGGCAAGUCGUAACAUGGUAAGCGUACCGGAAGGUGUGCUUGGAAA
rnacentral:ncRNA from 1 species